rnacentral:rRNA from 1 species
UGGGGAAUUUUGGACAAUGGGGCGAAGCCUGAUCCAGCAAUGCCGCGUGUGUGAAGAAGGCCUUCGGGUUGUAAAGCACUUUUGUCCGGAAAGAAAUCCUUGGCUCUAAUACAGUCGGGGGAUGACGGUACCGGAAGAAUAAGCACCGGCUAACUACGUGCCAGCAGCCGCGGUAAUACGUAGGGUGCAAGCGUUAAUCGGAAUUACUGGGCGUAAAGCGUGCGCAGGCGGUUUGCUAAGACCGAUGUGAAAUCCCCGGGCUCAACCUGGGAACUGCAUUGGUGACUGGCAGGCUAGAGUAUGGCAGAGGGGGGUUAGAAUUCCACGUGUAGCAGUGAAAUGCGUAGAGAUGUGGAGGAAUACCGAUGGCGAAGGCAGCCCCCUGGGCCAAAUACUGACGCUCAUGCACGAAAGCGUGGGGGAGCAAAACAGGAUUAGAUACCCUGGUAGUCCACGCCCUAAACGAUGUCAACUAGUUGUUGGGGGAUUCAUUUCCUUAGUAACGUAGCUAACGCGUGAAGUUGACCGCCUGGGGAGUAC